AUACUAUCCAUAUUUUAGUAUACUACAAGGAUACUUUCAUAUACUUAUUUUUUGUAAGGGAGACCGACUUACUAGAGCUAAAUAUAUACUGCUGGAGUGUAGCUGGCUAGUUAAUUGUUGUCAUGGUCGAGUUAUAGCUAACGCUACGUUGGACAAUAUUCACAAAACUGGAUUUUAAAUUAUUACUUACAAGUAUGAUUAACUACUGCUAAUGAAACAGACAAAAGUAUGUUUGUUGAUAAGUGGAAAAUUGACUCUCAACUCCUGGGGUACUGGCUAUAGGAUUUAUAUGUUCAGUAUGCCAUUUUGUGCCUUAACGACCGAAAGCUUGACGGAGCUUCUUAAGUAUUCAAGAUAUUUAUUGUCAUGUAUAUGGUUUAACAAAGUUAGUCCGUACAAUGAAAUUCUUAUAGUGCAAUGUCCUCCUUCCACAUAAUUACAAUAAAAAACACUAAAAAGAGAGAAAAAUACAUAAAUAUACAGUCAGAAUAAAAUUGAUCAAAUAUGGCACAUCAAUGAAAUGACAGUUUCCUGAGUGUUCAAAGUGCGUGGUUUGCAAAUAUCGCAAGUCAUAGUUCAGUAUGUCUGUGUCUGUGUAUGCGUAGUAGUGACCGGUAGCUAAGGUAGGAUUGGUCAAAGCCGUUUUGGGGAGUGGCUUUCGCGAUAGGUCUCCCUUGGACGAGCUUGUGUCAAAUGGGAGCCAAACCUCCUCCUACUUUACACCGGACACACACACACACACUCACAAUAUAUUUUGCCUUAUGUCUCUGAUCUCAUUAACAGUCAAACACAUGCCAUCCUCAGGCCUAUACAGUGCUUCACAUGAAUAUCAGUUACACGUGCCAGAACUGUAUGAACAAUAUAAUUAAUGUCGUUUAUUCAACAUGAGCAGAUGCUGUCGUGCAUGGGGAGAGACAGCGUCCCAUGUUUGUUUUCAGAUCCAAGAAAAAGCUCCUCAGCAGCAGUGGCGGGAGAUUUGGGGGAUUUCUGUUUCGCAAGUCACCAGUGACAUCGUCUGGAAAGGAGCUGAGAUACAGAGAAGCUAUUUAUCCCUGGCUGGUCUGCAGAGGGC